GGUGGGGUCCAUCUCUGCUCUCAGGUAACGGUAACAGUGAUAGGCUUAGAGGUAAUGGCUUCAAGUUGCACUAGGGAGGUUGGAUAGUAGGAACAAUUCGUUCUCAGAAGGAGUGGUGAUGCAAUGGAGCAGGCUGCCCAGGGAGGUGGUGGGGUCACCGUCCCUGGCCGUGCUAUAGCGUUCAGAAUCCACGGAGAUGUGGCACUGAGGGGCGGCCGUUACUCCCCUCGGGGGGCGGAAAAAGCGCGGGCGCUGCGCUGAGGGGAGGCGGGACUGAGGCGCUCCGCUCCCGCCUGAUGCGGCCGGUGACACCCGGCCCUUUCCCGGCGUUCUGUCACAAGUGCGUCUCUGUGGCGUCAGGAGAGCUGCGCCCCGCGGGUGUUCCUCUCUCAUCCUCUGUGUGUUCAGUUUUGGUCUGCUUCCCCUCAAGGCCUGAGCAUGAGGUGGGGCAGUGCCAGGCUCCCAUUUGCUGCAAGAGGUGAAGCGAGCCCAGAGCAGCAGGUGCUAUUGAGCUAGCUCUGAUAUUACUGAUGGACCGCAGUGCUCUCUCCGUACGCUCUGUGGGGUGCUCCUGAGGACAGUUUGUCAGCCUGGCUGCAGAGAUUGGAGGGCUGAUGCAUUAAUUACUGAGGUUGCUCUCCUUAUUUCGACUCUGGUGUUCUCCAGAAGGCAGCAGGAGCAGAAUCAUUAAGGUUGGAAAAGACCACUGAGAUCACCAAGUCAUCCCAUCCCCACCAUGCUCGCUAAACCACGUCCUUCAGUGCCUCCCCAGGAAUGGUGACUCCACUACCUCCAUAUUGCUUCCUCAGCCCAGCUAGUGCAGAUGAACACUGUGCCUUUGUCCUCUGAGCUACCUCUCUGCUUUGGUGCCAUUUGCAAUGAACCUGGAGAUGCUGGAGCAGAAAGUGCAAGGUACUCUCAGCCUAACUUUGCCCUUCUGUAGAUCAGACUGCACUCAUGUGAACCCUACUCUCAUCAAAUCUGUGUACAACUGAGUGAACUGGGCAGAGUAAGCAGUGGGGGACACACCUCCUCUUCAUGGCAGCCCUUCAUGUCCUGAAUAAUAAAGCACAUGUCUGUAGGUGCUCUGUUCUGAGCAAGGUUGGUGGUGUCUACAGUUCUCACUGGGG
rnacentral:lncRNA from 1 species